AAUAUCAAUUCUCAAUUAUAAAUUUUUUUCUUCGACAUCAUUAUGUCACAUCAGGAUGUAAAUUUUAGUAUCUAUCGUGAGAUUCCACAACAGUUGGAGAAUGGAACGAAACAUUGAGUGUGUGGAAAUCUCUCUCUAGUAUAUGCGUUUUAAAAACUUUGAGGGAAAAUCGGCUAGCAGUGAGCUUAGGCGGUUACAUUUACCCUUUUAAUAUGCAUCACUUUCAUUCAUAUAGGUUCGACGAUUUUUAAUUUUCAUAUAUUCAUGCAUGACUCCAGAAAACGUCAUACAAUCAUCAUAAAUUUCUCAACCUAGCACUAAGAUGUUCUAAUUGUGAGCAGACGACAAUCCACCAUCAAGCUCGUGGUUGUCGUCGAUCUUAAGGAGUGCCAAAAGCCGAAGAUCCUUGUCAUUGCCCAUUGCCUUUGCACGCAGUCGCAUGAUCAGAUGGGUGCAGGAGCUCACAUGGAUAAGAAUGGUUGGAUGCUCGUAGGAAAAACAUAUCGGGUCCACAAGAAAGAGAAAGGGACGACCAAUUGCGUACCAUGAGGAUAGACCAAGUGCAAGUGAAAGCAAAAUCAAGCAUAAAAGAU